rnacentral:rRNA from 1 species
AGAGUUUGAUUCUGGCUCAGGACGAACGCUGGCGGCGCGCCUAACACAUGCAAGUCGAACGAGCAAGAGAGAGCUUGCUUUCUCGAGCGAGUGGCGAACGGGUGAGUAACGCGUGAGGAACCUGCCUCAAAGAGGGGGACAACAGUUGGAAACGACUGCUAAUACCGCAUAAGCCCACGGUGCCGCAUGGCACAGAGGGAAAAGGAGCAAUCCGCUUUGAGAUGGCCUCGCGUCCGAUUAGCUAGUUGGUGAGGUAACGGCCCACCAAGGCAACGAUCGGUAGCCGGACUGAGAGGUUGAACGGCCACAUUGGGACUGAGACACGGCCCAGACUCCUACGGGAGGCAGCAGUGGGGAAUAUUGCACAAUGGGGGAAACCCUGAUGCAGCGACGCCGCGUGGAGGAAGAAGGUCUUCGGAUUGUAAACUCCUGUUGUUGGGGAAGAUAAUGACGGUACCCAACAAGGAAGUGACGGCUAACUACGUGCCAGCAGCCGCGGUAAAACGUAGGUCACAAGCGUUGUCCGGAAUUACUGGGUGUAAAGGGAGCGCAGGCGGGAAGACAAGUUGGAAGUGAAAUCUAUGGGCUCAACCCAUAAACUGCUUUCAAAACUGUUUUUCUUGAGUAGUGCAGAGGUAGGCGGAAUUCCCGGUGUAGCGGUGGAAUGCGUAGAUAUCGGGAGGAACACCAGUGGCGAAGGCGGCCUACUGGGCACCAACUGACGCUGAGGCUCGAAAGUGCGGGUAGCAAACAGGAUUAGAUACCCUGGUAGUCCACACCGUAAACGAUGAUUACUAGGUGUUGGAGGAUUGACCCCUUCAGUGCCGCAGUUAACACAAUAAGUAAUCCACCUGGGGAGUACGACCGCAAGGUUGAAACUCAAAGGAAUUGACGGGGGCCCGCACAAGCAGUGGAGUAUGUGGUUUAAUUCGACGCAACGCGAAGAACCUUACCAAGUCUUGACAUCUCUUGACAGGCAUAGAAAUAUGUUUUCUCUUCGGAGCAAGGAGACAGGUGGUGCAUGGUUGUCGUCAGCUCGUGUCGUGAGAUGUUGGGUUAAGUCCCGCAACGAGCGCAACCCUUAUGGUCAGUUACUACGCAAGAGGACUCUGGCCAGACUGCCGUUGACAAAACGGAGGAAGGUGGGGAGGACGUCAAAUCAUCAUGCCCUUUAUGACUUGGGCUACACACGUACUACAAUGGCGUUAAACAAAGAGAAGCGAGACCGCGAGGUGGAGCAAAACUCAGAAACAACGUCCCAGUUCGGACUGCAGGCUGCAACUCGCCUGCACGAAGUCGGAAUUGCUAGUAAUCGUGGAUCAGCAUGCCACGGUGA